UAGAGUUUGAUCCUGGCUCAGAACGUACGCUGGCGGCACGCCUAACACAUGCAAGUCGAACGAAGUAGCAAUACUUAGUGGCAGACGGGUGAGUAACAUGUAGGUAUCUGCCCUUUGGCCUGGAAUAACACGAGGAAACUUGUGCUAAUACCGGAUAAGUCUUUACGGAGAAAGCUUUAUGCACCAUUGGAUGAGCCUGCACUUGAUUAGUUUGUUGGUGGGGUAAUGGCCUAUCAAGACUGUGAUCAAUAGCUGAUUUGAGAGGAUGAUCAGCCACAUUGGGACUGAGACACGGCCCAAACUCCUACGGGAGGCAGCAGUGGGGAAUCUUGCACAAUGGAGGAAACUCUGAUGCAGCGAUGCCGCGUGAGUGAAGAAGGCCUUUGGGUUGUAAAGCUCUUCCGUCGGGGAAGAAAAUGACUGUACCCGAAUAAGAAGGUCCGGCUAACUUCGUGCCAGCAGCCGCGGUAAUACGAAGGGACCUAGCGUAGUUCGGAAUUACUGGGCUUAAAGAGUUCGUAGGUGGUUGAAAAAGUUGGUGGUGAAAUCCCAGAGCUUAACUCUGGAACUGCCAUCAAAACUUUUCAGCUAGAGUAUGAUAGAGGAAAGUAGAAUUUCUAGUGUAGAGGUGAAAUUCGUAGAUAUUAGAAAGAAUACCAAUUGCGAAGGCAGCUUUCUGGAUCAUUACUGACACUGAGGAACGAAAGCAUGGGUAGCGAAGAGGAUUAGAUACCCUCGUAGUCCAUGCCGUAAACGAUGUGUGUUAGACGUUGGAAAUUUAUUUUCAGUGUCGCAGCAAAAGCGAUAAACACACCGCCUGGGGAGUACGACCGCAAGGUUAAAACUCAAAUGAAUUGACGGGGACCCGCACAAGUAGUGGAGCAUGUGGUUUAAUUCGAAGAUACGCGCAGAACCUUACCAACACUUGACAUGUUCGUCGCGACUCUAAGAGAUUAGAGUUUUCGGUUCGGCCGGACGAAACACAGGUGCUGCAUGGCUGUCGUCAGCUCGUGUCGUGAGAUGUUGGGUUAAGUCCCGCAACGAGCGCAACCCUCACUUUUAGUUGCCAUCAUUUAGUUGGGCACUCUGAAAGAACUGCCAGUGAUAAGCUGGAGGAAGGUGGGGAUGACGUCAAGUCCUCAUGGCCCUUACGUGUUGGGCUACACACGUGCUACAAUGGUAUCUACAACAGGAAGCAAAACGGCGACGUUAAGCAAAUCCUUAAAAGAUACCUCAGUUCGGAUUGCACUCUGCAACUCGAGUGCAUGAAGCUGGAAUUACUAGUAAUCGUGGAUCAGCGUGCCACGGUGAAUGCGUUCCCGGGUCUUGUACACACCGCCCGUCACACCAUGGGAGUUGGUUCUACCUUAAGGCAAGGUUUCAAACCCUUGACCACGGUAUAGUCAGCGACUGGGGUGAAGUCGUAACAAGGUAACCA
rnacentral:rRNA from 1 species